rfam:Homo sapiens chromosome 19, GRCh38 reference primary assembly.
GCCAGGUGUGGUGGCUCACACCUGUAAUCCCAGCACUUUGGGAGGCUGAGGCGGGUGAAUCAUUUGAGGUCAGGAGUUCAAGACCAGCCUGGCCAACAUGGUGAAACCCCGUCUCUA